rnacentral:rRNA from 1 species
GUGCAGCAGUCGAGAAACUUCACAAUGUGCGAAAGCACGAUGAGGGAAUCCCAAGUGCUUGCACGUAAGUGUAAGCUGUUUCUCUGUCUAAAACGCAGAGAGAGUAAGGGCUGGGUAAGACGGGUGCCAGCCGCCGCGGUAAUACCUGCAGCUCGAGUGGUGACCGUUAUUAUUGGGCCUAAAACGUCCGUAGCCGGUUUAAUAAAUGCCUGGGUAAAUCGGACCGCUUAACGGUUCGAAUUCCGGGUAGACUGUUAAACUUGAGACCGGGAGAAGUUAGAGGUACUCCUGGGGUAGAGGUGAAAUUCUGUAAUCCUAGGGGGACCACCAGUGGCGAAGGCGUCUAACUAGAACGGGUCUGACGGUGAGGGACGAAGCCCUGGGGCGC